GGGGGCAUAGCUCAGUUGGUAGAGCAUCUGCAUGGCAUGCAGAGGGUCAGGAGUUCGAGUCUCCUUGCCUCCACCA
rnacentral:tRNA from 1 species